GUGAUAAAUGAAAAUAAAUCACCAGCCUUUGUUACACUCAAACACCCACUGUUACCGCACACAUCAAAAGACCAUGAACACAAUAAUAAACAAAAGACAUACAAGACGUUGAGGAGUAUUUCACCCUUUGAUCCACCGGGAUAUUGGUUACUUGAGGAAGCUUUCAGCACGCUAUAAAUUCCAUGAACAACGGAUUAAGAUCACCAGCAUUUCCAUAAGAGGAUCCAACCUCCCCGUACCGAUAGAGUUCGAUCCUCUGUUGACGGCCCGGGGGGUUGGCUGGCGAGGGGGUCGUUGAAACACAUGCCUCUCCGCCCUGAAGGCCCCAGAACAGCUUCCCUGGCCCGCGUGACGAAGGGUCAUGCCUCAGCCACGCCCCCUCUGACCUGUCGUGUUUAGUGACCCAAGCAUCCACGAUGACGAUAUCAAGACUUCCCGAAAACGAGACUCUCACGAACCUCGUGGAGUCUGACCUUAACGUCUCCGGCCUCGAGGAAGAGACGCUCCUCUCGGGCGGAAUCUAUGACUUCGAGCUGGCGAUGCCUGUGUGGGAGAUCGUGGUGACCGU